UAGUGAUUCUACAAAUCAACUUUAUUAUUUGCCACCUCAACAUUCAGCAAAAGAUACUCAAUUGACUAAAUCUUCAGGACAAAUUAUUAGAGGUUCUGCGUCAAAUCAGUCAUUUUGCCAGGCUGCUGUUUCGAACUCGUCACCAUAUAAUCCGUCAACUAGUAAAGCAACUGAUGUACAGAGCAACAUCAGAGCUGUAGUGGAAAGUAAUGGAGGUAAAAACCAAAAAAUAAUGUAAAAACUGUUUUGGUACUAAGGUAUAUUUUGUCCAUGCCAGCAAACACUCAAGAUGAUGUAAUCACUUUAUUGAAGACCAUUAGAGAACAGAACAAUCAAAUUUUGCAGUGGAUCCGAAAACAAGAUCGCAGUGGCAAUCACGCCAGUAAUACAGAUUUACCAGAUGAUAUAGGCGUACAGUUUCCUUUGAAUUCUCAAGAGGAUAUUACCAAAUUGGAAACAUACCUGAGUGAAAAAAAUAA